rnacentral:SRP_RNA from 1 species
GCUGGGCAUGGUGGCGCAUGCCUGUAGUCCCAGGUACUCGGGAGGCUGAGGCAGGAGAAUUGCUUGAACCUGGGAGGCAGAGGUUGCAGUGAGCUGAGAUUGAGCCACUGCACCCCAGCCUGGGUAACAGAGUGAGACCCCGUUUCAA